UCGAGCGAUGAUGAAGAAGCUUGCUUCUUCUGAUUUAGCGGCGGACGGGUGAGUAACACGUGGGCAACCUACCUAGUAGAUUGGGAUAACUCCGGGAAACCGGGGCUAAUACCGAAUAAUCCAUUUUGUCACAUGGCAAAAUGCUGAAAGGCGGUUUCGGCUGUCACUACUAGAUGGGCCCGCGGUGCAUUAGCUAGUUGGUGGGGUAACGGCCUACCAAGGCAACGAUGCAUAGCCGACCUGAGAGGGUGAUCGGCCACAUUGGGACUGAGACACGGCCCAAACUCCUACGGGAGGCAGCAGUAGGGAAUCUUCCACAAUGGACGAAAGUCUGAUGGAGCAACGCCGCGUGAGUGAUGAAGGUUUUCGGAUCGUAAAACUCUGUUGUAAGGGAAGAACAAGUACGUUAGUAACUGAACGUACCUUGACGGUACCUUAUUAGAAAGCCACGGCUAACUACGUGCCAGCAGCCGCGGUAAUACGUAGGUGGCAAGCGUUGUCCGGAUUUAUUGGGCGUAAAGCGCGCGCAGGUGGUUUCUUAAGUCUGAUGUGAAAGCCCACGGCUCAACCGUGGAGGGUCAUUGGAAACUGGGAGACUUGAGUGCAGAAGAGGAAAGUGGAAUUCCAAGUGUAGCGGUGAAAUGCGUAGAGAUUUGGAGGAACACCAGUGGCGAAGGCGACUUUCUGGUCUGUAACUGACACUG
rnacentral:rRNA from 1 species